AGUGAACGCUGGCGGUAGGCCUAACACAUGCAAGUCGAACGGCAGCACAGGAGAGCUUGCUCUCUGGGUGGCGAGUGGCGGACGGGUGAGGAAUACAUCGGAAUCUACUUUUUCGUGGGGGAUAACGUAGGGAAACUUACGCUAAUACCGCAUACGACCUACGGGUGAAAGCAGGGGACCUUCGGGCCUUGCGCGGAUGAAUGAGCCGAUGUCGGAUUAGCUAGUUGGCGGGGUAAAGGCCCACCAAGGCGACGAUCCGUAGCUGGUCUGAGAGGAUGAUCAGCCACACUGGAACUGAGACACGGUCCAGACUCCUACGGGAGGCAGCAGUGGGGAAUAUUGGACAAUGGGCGCGAGCCUGAUCCAGCCAUACCGCGUGGGUGAAGAAGGCCUUCGGGUUGUAAAGCCCUUUUGUUGGGAAAGAAAAGCAGCAGGUUAAUACCCCGCUGUUCUGACGGUACCCAAAGAAUAAGCACCGGCUAACUUCGUGCCAGCCGCCGCCGCGGUAA
rnacentral:rRNA from 1 species